rnacentral:lncRNA from 1 species
AUACAUCAACAUAAAUUAGAUCAAAAAUAACAUUUGUCCUAGAAGUACUAACAGGAAAAUGAAGCCUUGUUUGCUUUGCUAGAAGACAAACAGAACAACCAUCACAUAGUCUUACAACUGAGUUACCAUCUACUAAAGACAAUUGCUUGAGAAUCUUAGCAGAAUGAUGCCUUGUUAUGUCAUAUCAUACAAUCUGAAUUAUCUGCCUUUGUCAUGAGUGCCUUCUCAUUAUUCUUCUCUGUCCUUGCUUCAACAAUUUUAUUAGGGAAGUAAUACAAGCCUUCUAUCUCCUUACCAAUUUCCCUUCACCUCUCCAUUGAAGAGGUCCUGAAACAGGCAAAACUUAGGAAAAAAAUGAACAUAACAAUUUAGCUAUCUUGUGAGUUGAGACACUGACAGUAGGUCAUGUUUUAUAGGUUCAAAGCUAGAUUUGUAGUUAAGGGAUACAACUAGACUGGAGAAAUUGACUAUCAAGAAACCUUCUCACCAGUGGUAAAUAUGAUCAUUGUAACGUCUGUCAUUGCUAUUGCAGCAGUCGAAGGGUAGAUGAAGAUAAAAAUGAUGAUUCCUCUUCGAUUCAAUCACUUUGAGUGUUUCCAUUGAAGCGACCACAAUUGAAGUUGUUACUUGUUCUUCAGUUGCUAAAUUCUCCAUUGUAGAAGUGAAGCUUUUUUAUUAAUGGUGAUUCCCAGAAUUU